rnacentral:rRNA from 1 species
GACGCGGCAGCAGUCCUUUGGCUGCUGGGUAGGAGAGCGUCCCGCGUGGGGCGAAGCGGCCGCGGAAGCGUGCCGUGGACCGCGCGGGAGUGAGAAUGCAGACAUGAGUAGCGAGAGACGGGUGAGGAUCCCGUCCGCUGGAUGACCAAGGGUUCCGGGGCCACGUUCGUCGUCCCCGGGUGAGUCGGGUCCUAAGGCGAGGCCGACAGGCGUAGUCGAAUGGAUGAACGGGUGGAUAUUCCCGUACCGGCGGCGUACCGUAAGAGCCGAACGGAUGAGUACUAACCUCCGGUCGCGUGGCGUCGUUCCCUUCGGGGUUCGGGGCUUGCGUGGCUGUUGGGAGCGUAGUCCUGGUAGGCUAGCGCACAGGGGUGACACGGAAUGGGAGCCGGCCGCGGAGGUGGUUUUCCGUGGUCAAGCACGCAGCCCGUCCCAUAGGCAAAUCCGUGGGGCAUGUAGGGUGAGGUGUGAUGAUGGGCGCUUUUUUGGCGCGAUAUCCGGUGGUCCAGGCCGUCGAGAAAAGCCUCGGCGCGAGGGGCGUUGCCGCCCGUACCCCAAACCGACACUGGUGGUCAGGUAGAGAAUACCAAGGCGAUCGAGCGAAUCCUGGUCAAGGAACUCGGCAAAUCACUCCCGUGCCUUCGGUAUAAGGGAGACCCCCGGGCGUGAAGAGGCUUGCCCUCGGAGCGUUGGGGGGUGGCACAGACCAGGGGGUAGCGACUGUUUACCAAAAACACAGGUGCAUGCGAAGGCGCAAGCCGCUGUAUAUGCACUGACGCCUGCCCGGUGCCGGAAGGUUAAGAGGAUCCGUCAGCCCUCGGGUGAAGCGGUGAAUUCAAGCCCCGGUAAACGGCGGUGGUAACUAUAACCAUCCUAAGGUAGCGAAAUUCCUUGUCGGGUAAGUUCCGACCUGCACGAAUGGCGUAACGACUUCCCCACUGUCUCGACCAGGAGCUCGGCGAAAUUGCAGUACGAGUAAAGAUGCUCGUUAAGCGCAGAAGGACGAAAAGACCCCGGGACCUUUACUAUACCUUGGUAUUGGCGUUAGGCGCGGAUUGUGUAGCAUAGGCGGGAGGCUUCGAAGCGUGGGCGCCAGCCCGUGUGGAGCCGCAAGGUGAAAUACCGCUCUGUUCUCGUUUGACGUCUAACCUCGGCCAGUGAUCCUGGUCAGGGACAGUGCCUGGCGGGUAGUUUAACUGGGGCGGUUGCCUCCCAAAGAGUAACGGAGGCGCUCAAAGGUCCGCUCAGCCCGGUUGGCAAUCGGGUUUCGAGUGUAAUCGCACAAGCGGGCUUGACUGCGAGAACGACGGUUCGGGCAGGGACGAAAGUCGGAGAUAGUGAUCCGGUGCCGGCGCACGGG